CCUACCCCGUCGUAGCAAGUGCUGCUUCCUGCAGAGAAUAGACUGGUGUCAGGAGACACUACACUUUCAAAUCUAUCGGAGCAACUGGCAUCAUUUUACUGCUUACUACGGAUAGCCUAAGCUUCAGAGAGGCUUCUGAACAGGAAGCUGCUUUGCUUAGGACUGUGACUCAUCGAUUCACGAGUGUGAUGAAAUAAUAAUACGCGACGUCUGGUGACUACAAUACCACCAUCGCAAGUUACUUCAAAACAUCUCUUCAAACAAGUGAGGCAGCAAGUCACCGAAAAACUGGGCCGUGCCCUUACAUGGGAGGAAGAAACCAGUGGCUAUUCUGACAUUCGCCGGACCAAGCCAACGCGUAAACCAAGCAGAAUUUCGCCAGCCUCGAGAACGGACAUAUUCCCAAACGGAGUACAUCCAACAUCUAUGGAGCGUGACCUCAGUAGGGACUUGCAACGGCUUCGUUUAGAUGCCGCCGGCACCGAUGCGCAGGCAGAUGGAGGAAACAUCGCCGACAAGGAGCCGACCCCCGAAGCCCUUGGUCCGGACGAUGGCAUUUGUCCAGAGGCUGGGUUGUCUGCUUCCUCACGCUACCCACACCGGCCACCGCCUUGUCGCUGCUCGAAUUGCUACAUGGAACGAAGGCUCCGGGUGCACUCUCAAAGUUACCGACGCAAUUCGUUCCCGGAAUGGUAUCGCGACAUGUGGUGGUGUUACAACAUAAAAAUGCGGCGUGCAGGCUGCGGAAUCAGGCGGUUUCUAUGGGAGCAUCGACGGGAGGCUCGCCGCAACGUCUUGGAACGGCAGCCGCCGCAGUCCGAGUGCUAACAUGGUUCCAAGAGGACUUCACCCAGAAGAAUGGCCAAGGAGUCAGCCUGAAAUGGAAAUACCACAAUGUUGGUGUGCUCAGCAAGCUGCACACAGAGCAAUGGUGUACUGGAUGCAUUGUAUUGUUUUGCAGCUUUACUGAGAGAACCACAACUCCAACUAGGUUUCAUCAAAAAACGCCAUGGCUUUUUUUUUUUUAAAUUAAGAGCUGCAAAAUCUUUCCAUAUUAAUGCUGCAUGCAUUGCACAGCUGCAUAGUCCCCUGCUAUACAUGCGAUGUCCAUACAACUUAAUGUGGCCAGAAAAGAAUAGACUUUAUGACAUAUUUCUAUGCAAAACAAAAUUUAUGACUUGCAAACUUAGUUAAGAUAUUCUUAAAAAGGUCUGCUUGAUUUCAUCCUCUUCAGAAGGCAUUGCUAAAUAUAUACAUGGAGCAAUGCCUUCUGAAGAGAAUGAAAUCAAGCAGACCUUGUUGCUCACAUAACAUGCAGUAGGCUUUUAUUUGUAGAGCAGAUCUUGCAGCUUGAGCAGCAGUUGUGGACCACCUCCAGCUACUGAGAAUCGCUUGGGCGGCUGGACAAUACUCUUGACAGAAAACAUCCUAUAUAUAAAGAGGAAUUGCUGGACUGUUGUAGGUCCUCCGCCAACAUGUCUGACAAUGCCAAAAAAAAAACUCCAAAACAAAAAAAAUGCUUGGGUAUUUACCUCACAGGCUGGAAAAUGCAGUUGUAUGCCUCUAAUGGGUCCUGUCCAAUCUUUCCCACCAGUACAAGGCGAAAACCUGCUGCAAGAAGGUUCUAAACAAGGGAUAUUGUACUUAGCAUUUGUAGUGGCAGCAGUUGCCUGUCCAUACAACGCUCUCUUUCAGUGUAUGUAAAGUAAUAGUUUUCUGCGAGAAAUCAGAGGUAUGUAUGAGGCCAAAAGCGUAAUCCUUACAGCAGCCUGCUCAGCUUCGUUUUACUGCACAUGAUGGUCCUCCGAGAGUUGAAGUAGUCAAAUAAUCUGUUCAUUCUUCUGGUGAAUUCAGAUGUUGCUGCAGACUCAUGGAGCUUCUUGCAUGCUUCCUGCUCACUGUAGAAAUCCGUGGCUAUAGCUGUGAAUUGGAAAUAAAAUUUUUUC